rnacentral:rRNA from 1 species
AUUGAACGCUGGCGGCAGGCCUAACACAUGCAAGUCGAACGAGUGGCGGACGGGCGAGUAAUGUCUGGGAAACUGCCCGAUGGAGGGGGCUAACUACUGGAAACGGUAGCUAAUACCGCAUAACCUCGGAUGUGCCCAGAUGGGUUUAGCUAGUAGGUGGGGUAAGGGCUCACCUAGGCGACGAUCCCCAGCUGGUCUGAGAGGAUGACCAGCCACACUGGAACUGAGACACGGUCCAGACUCCUACGGGAGGCAGCAGUGGGGAAUAUUGCACAAGGGGCGCAAGCCUGAUGCAGCCAUGCCGCGUGUAUGAAGAAGGCCUUCGGGUUGUAAAGUACUUUCAGCGAGGAGGCGUUACUCGCAGAAGAAGCACCGGCUAACUCCGUGCCAGCCGCCGCGGUAAUAC